AUAUGAAUGGCAUACCCCUUAUCUGCAUAUUCACCAAUUCCAUUAACACAAUAUAACAAACAUGCUAAUUGUACUAGGCUAUUGCAAUAAAAUAUAUUAAAAUUUUUCCCCAGAUGUUAUCAUCAGCAUUGUAGCAUUGCAAGACCUUGCAACCAUGGAGCUAACCUUAGGAACCUAUAACCUUAGGAACCUAUAAUAUUGUCUGAUGAUUGUCAAUGACACUACAAGUACACAUACUAUAGAAACAAUCUCGUUGUAAUGAAUGAUAAACAAGAAAUCUCGUUGUAAUGAAUGAUAAACAAGAAACAACCUAGAUCAUGAUUAAUGAUACAUAAAAUAAUGAUGUAACUACCCUAUUAUAAAGAUGACAGCACUGCCUGAAUGUAGGGCUUUGUUAUGCAUUCCUAACACCCUUAACAGGCUAAAGCAGGCUUGGGUGUUUAACAGAAAAAGGUUCAACAACAAACAGAUUGAAUGAGAGUUGCCUUUAGAUUCUACGUGAUACACCAUGCAUAAGAAUAAUAUUGCUUAUUAAGACAGACCUACAAACCUCAAUCAAACAACUGGAAGCAAG
rnacentral:misc_RNA from 1 species